GUGUGUCAGUCAGUAUGUGUGUGUAUAUCUGUGUGUGUCAGUGUAUCGGUGUUUUGUCAGUGUGUAAAUGCAUCAGUGUCAGUAUAUAUGUAUCUGUAUGUGUAUCAAUGUAUAUUUGUGUCAAUAUGCGUAUGUAUCGGUGUGUGUUAGUGUAACUGUGUCAGUUGACCUGUUUAUAUUUCAUUGUGUAUGUGUAACUGUGCCAAUAUGUGUGUAUCAGUGUGUAUGUGUAUCUGUGUCACUAUGUAUGUAUACGUACCUGUGUGUGUCAAUGUGUAUUUGUAUCCACAGCAACAGGUAGGGAGAACUGGUGUGUAAUUCCACCCGCUGCCACGCCUGG